rnacentral:rRNA from 1 species
GACAGAGGGUGCAACCGUUGUUCGGAAUUACUGGGCGUAAAGCGCGUGUAGGCGGUUUGGUAAGUCGGAUGUGAAAGCCCCGGGCUCAACCCGGGAAGUGCACUCGAUACUGCCAAGCUAGAGUAUCGGAGAGGUUGGUGGAAUUCUCGGUGUAGAGGUGAAAUUCGUAGAUAUCGAGAGGAACACCGGUGGCGAAGGCGGCCAACUGGACGAAUACUGACGCUGAGACGCGAAAGCGUGGGGAGCGAACAGG